CUGAAGGCAGUAGAUGGUGCGCGAUGACGUCAUCAGCGAGGAAGAUGGCGUCGCUGCGGGCAGAGCUCAGGCUCAGAGAUGGGCAGAGGCAGACGGUCAGCGUUCAGGUAGAAACACACCUUAGCUCUUUGAUACGUGGAAUCUCCGAGCUGAACCAGAACGUGUCGCAGCUGCUCAGCGAGCUUGUUGAGCGUGAAAAAGCAUGCGCACAAGAUGAGGACGAAGAAGACGGCGGUGAAGAAGACGAGGAAGCUGAAGAAGAACAGAACUGUGAAAUGCAGCCUCCCUCAAAAAGAUCACGAACCUGAAACACCUGAGCACACUUUCACAUUGAUUUUUCUUUUUUAAAUUGAUGAUACAAUAAAGAUGUCACGGUAACCA